rnacentral:rRNA from 1 species
AGUGAACGCUGGCGGUAGGCCUAACACAUGCAAGUCGAACGGCAGCACAGUAAGAGCUUGCUCUUACGGGUGGCGAGUGGCGGACGAGUGAGGAAUACAUCGGAAUCUACUUUUUCGUGGGUGAUAACGUAGGGAAACUUACGCUAAUACCGCAUACGACCUACGGGUGAAAGCAUGGGAUCUUCGGACCUUGCGCGAUUGAAUGAGCCGAUGUCGGAUUAGCUAGUUGGCGGGGUAAAGGCCCACCAAGGCGACGAUCCGUAGCUGGUCUGAGAGGAUGAUCAGCCACACUGGAACUGAGACACGGUCCAGACUCCUACGGGAGGCAGCAGUGGGGAAUAUUGGACAAUGGGCGCAAGCCUGAUCCAGCCAUACCGCGUGGGUGAAGAAGGCCUUCGGGUUGUAAAGCCCUUUUGUUGGGAAAGAAAAGCAGCAGGUUAAUACCCCGCUGUUCUGACGGUACCCAAAGAAUAAGCACCGGCUAACUUCGUG